rnacentral:lncRNA from 1 species
GUUUUGUCUACCUCAUGUGGUACCCAUUUCUAGCAGGGAAUUUCUUCCACUUGCAGACCAAGUGUGUUGGGGACUUGAGAUGCGUACAUGAGUGUUUGUGAUGUUUCCUGCCGAAAGCACAGGUGAGACGUGGUCUUGUAACACAGUGGUUAAGAAUGUGACUUUGGAGCCAGCCUGCUAGGGGCUGAAUUCUGACUCAGCCAUUUACUAACUGUGUGACCUUAGGUAAGUCAUUUACCUUCUCUGUCCCUCAGUUUCAUCUCGGUAAAGUAGGGAUAAUGAUAGCACCUAUUUUAUAGGGUUAUUGUGAGGAAUAAAUCCAAGUAAAAUGCUUAGAAUAGUAACUGAAAC